rnacentral:rRNA from 1 species
UACAGAGGUCUCAAGCGUUGGUCGGAUGCAUUGGGCGUAAAGGGGGCGUAGGCGGCGCGGUAAGUCGGGUGUGAAAUCUCGGAGCUUAACUCCGAAACUGCAUUCGAUACUGCCGUGCUUGAGGACUGGAGAGGAGACUGGAAUUUACGGUGUAGCGGUGAAAUGCGUAGAUAUCGUAAGGAAGACCAGUGGCGAAGGCGGGUCUCUGGACAGUUCCUGACACUGAGACACGAAGGCCAGGGGAGCAAACGGG